rnacentral:rRNA from 1 species
UGGGGAAUAUUGCACAAUGGGGGAAACCCUGAUGCAGCGACGCCGCGUGAAGGAAGAAGGUAUUCGUAUCGUAAAGUUCUGUCCUAUGGGAAGAUAAUGACAGUACCAUAGAAGAAAGCUCCGGCUAAAUACGUGCCAGCACCGGCGGUAAUACGUAUGGAGCGAGCGUUGUCCGGAAUUAUUGGGCGUAAAGGGUACGCAGGCGGUUUAAUAAGUCGAAUGUUAAAGAUCGGGGCUCAACCCCGUAAAGCAUUGGAAACUGAUAAACUUGAGUAGUGGAGAGGAAAGUGGAAUUCCUAGUGUAGUGGUGAAAUACGUAGAUAUUAGGAGGAAUACCAGUAGCGAAGGCGACUUUCUGGACACAAACUGACGCUGAGGUACGAAAGCGUGGGGAGCAAACAGG